rnacentral:rRNA from 1 species
UCAAGCUGGAAAGAGCAUAGGGUGAAUGCCUUGGCACCAGGAGCCGACGAAGGACGCAGCGAUCUGCGAAAAGCCAUGGGGAGCCGAAAGCAGGCAAUGAGCCAUGGAUAUCCGAAUGGGGAAACCCAUCUGGGGCAAUGCCCAGAUAUCCAUAACUGAAUCAAUAGGUUAUGGAGGGGAGACCCGGGGAACUGAAACAUCUAAGUACCCGGAGGAAGAGAAAGAAACAUCGAUUUUCCAAGUAGCGGCGAGCGAACGGGAAAGAGCCCAAACCGGGCCGAAGGAGACUUCGGGCCGGGGUAAAGGACCGGAAUGAGAUCGGACAUCUCCAGCCGAACUGCACUGGAAAGGCAGGCCGGAGCAGGUGAGAGCCCUGUAGGCGAAGGGGAUGGAAGAUUGUCCGGGAUCCGGAGUACCACGGGACACGAGAAACCCUGUGGGAAGGCGGGGGGACCACCCCCCAAGGCUAAAUACUUCCUGGUGACCGAUAGAGAAGGAGUACCGUGAGGGAAAGGUGAAAAGCACCCCGGGAGGGGAGUGAAAGAGAACCUGAAACCCUAUGUUUACAAGCGGUGGGAGCACAAAUAUGGUGCGACCACGUACUUUUUGUAGAACGGACCGGCGAGUUGUGGCAGGAUGCGAGGUUAAGGACCGGGAAGGUCCGGAGCCGGAGGGAAACCAAGUCUGAAGAGGGCGAAAUAGUAUUCUGUUGCAGACCCGAAACCAGGUGACCUAUCCAUGGCCAGGAUGAAGCGGAAGUAAAAUUUCGUGGAGGUCCGAAUCCACCGUUGUUGAAAAAACGGGGAAUGAGCUGUGGAUAGGGGUGAAAUGCCAAUCGAACCUGGAGAUAGCUGGUUCUCCUCGAAAUAGCUUUAGGGCUAGCCUCGGGAAAGAGACAUGGAGGUAGAGCACUGAAUGGGCUAGGGGGCCGACAAGCCUAUCGAACCCUAUCAAACUCCGAAUGCCAUGGUCUUGAUUUCCGGGAGUCAGACUGCGUGAGAUAAGUUUCGUGGUCAAAAGGGAAACAGCCCAGAUCAACAGCUAAGGUCCCAAAGUACAGGUUAAGUGGGAAAGGAUGUGGGAUUGCACAGACAACCAGGAUGUUGGCUUAGAAGCAGCCAUACAUUGAAAGAGUGCGUAACAGCUCACUGGUCAAGUGGUCCUGCGCCGAAAAUGUCCGGGGCUAAAACCUGUCACCGAAGCUUUGGAUUGUCAUGGAUUAACAUGACAGUGGUAGAGGAGCAUUGUAUACUGGCAGAAGCCAUACCGGAAGGAGUGGUGGACGGUAUACAAGAGAGAAUGCCGGUAUGAGUAGCGAGAGCGAAGUGAGAAUCUUUGCCGUCGAAAGCCCAAGGAUUCCUGAGGAAGGUUCGUCCCCUCAGGGUAAGUCGGGACCUAAGCCGAGGACGAAAGUCGUAGGCGAUGGACAAUCGGUUGAAAUUCCGAUACCACCGACAUCCGCAUGAGAGAAGCAGUGACACAGGAGGAUAGACGGAGCAGGUUGUUGGUAGAGCCUGUUCAAGCAGUGAGUCCGGGAAGCGAGUGAAGUACCGUUUUCCAAAGAUGAGCUGUGACGGGGACCGAAAUUAGAGUAGGGAAGCCGUUGAAUCCACACUGGCGAGAAAAGCUGCUAUCGAGGAUGGAGGUGCCCGUACCGUAAACCGACACAGGUGGGCGGGGAGAGAAUCCCAAGACGAGCGGGAGAACCCUUGUUAAGGAACUCGGCAAAAUGACCCCGUAACUUCGGGAGAAGGGGUGCCUGGGAAACCAGGCCGCAGAGAAAAGGCCCAAGCGACUGUUUAGCAAAAACACAGGUAUCUGCGAACUCGAGAGAGGAAGUAUAGGUGCUGACGCCUGCCCAGUGCUGGAAGGUUAAGGGGAAGUGUAAGAGCGAGAGCGCGAAGCACAGAACUGAAGCCCCAGUGAACGGCGGCCGUAACUAUAACGGUCCUAAGGUAGCGAAAUUCCUUGUCGGGUAAGUUCCGACCUGCACGAAUGGCGUAACGAUUUGGGCGCUGUCUCAACGAGGGGCUCGGUGAAAUUGUAGUACCCGUAAAGAUGCGGGUUACCUGCGACAGGACAGAAAGACCCCGUGGAGCUUUACUGUAACCUGAUAUUGGAUUUUGGUAUUUUUUGUACAGGAUAGGUGGGAGGCAGAGAACCCAGGCCGCCAGGUUUGGGGGAGCCGCCGGUGGGAUACCACCCUGAGAGUACCGGAAUUCUAACCUGCUGCCGUAAACCGGCAGGGGGACAGUGUCAGGCGGGCAGUUUGACUGGGGCGGUCGCCUCCCAAAGAGUAACGGAGGCGCCCAAAGGUUCCCUCAGCGCGGUUGGAAAUCGCGCGUAUAGAGUGUAAAGGCAGAAGGGAGCUUGACAGCGAGACCAACAAGUCGAGCAGGGACGAAAGUCGGGCUUAGUGAUCCGGCGGUAUCGAGUGGAAGAGCCGUCGCUCAACGGAUAAAAGCUACCUCGGGGAUAACAGGCUUAUCUCCCCCAA